UGAUUUCUAUAUUACUGAAGUGAUCAAAAGAGGAAGAAAGAAUUGAAAGGAAUUGGGAAACAGAAAAGCUUUAUUUGAUGCUUGCAAUGAGAGGAGUUGAGUAGCUUAUGAAGUUGAUCGUGUGUGUAUAUAUAGGUGAGAUGGUAUGUGGUAAAUCAUCUGGUAGAUGAAAUGCUUGGUGAAGAAGAACCGAGUUGGGCUCCAGUUAGGAACAGUUGCUUGUGAGAGAUCACAUGGGGAACUUAAGCCUCACUUAGAUUUCACAUGCAAAUGUUACCAAACUGUAUACUUGGAUAGAAACAUACGUUCCCUACCUCCGUUGGAUAUAUAGCCGACUAGAAGAAGACUAGCUAGGUACCACAAGUUUCAGUCUAUCUAACAAACUACAUAUAUAUGUUGAAAGAUAAGCUAGGCUAUGAUGCAGCCUCAUCUAGUGGUGAAGACUGAAGAAGGACUAUCAUAUAGUACAUGAAAUGAGUGGUCAAAUGGAUAGCAAUGAGGGACACUGUGCGGCUUGUGAGAAAUCAUGAAAUCACAUGGAAACAUCAAGUCUUCUUUUCCUGCUAUAUAUAACUUACAAGAGAAAGGGAGGCGAUUUACGAAGCUGGGAGCCGUUAGCGUCACUAGAAAAGGUAUAGAUUCCUUUGUGUUAGUGUUUAAUCAAUAGAAAAGGUACUUAUUCAAAAUUUCAAAAUCCUUUGCGCGUA